GACGAACGCUGGCGGCGUGCCUAACACAUGCAAGUCGAACGGGGAUGUUCUGAAGUUUUCGGAUGGAAGGACAUUCUAGUGGCGGACGGGUGAGUAACGCGUGAGGAACCUGCCUCGAACUGGGGGAUAACAACGAGAAAUCGUUGCUAAUACCGCAUAAGACCACAGAGCCGCAUGGCUGAGGGGUCAAAGAUUUAUCGGUUUGAGAUGGACUCGCGUCUGAUUAGCUAGUUGGUGAGGUAACGGCCCACCAAGGCGACGAUCAGUAGCCGAGCUGAGAGGCUGAUCGGCCACACUGGGACUGAGACACGGCCCAGACUCCUACGGGAGGCAGCAGUGGGGAAUAUUGGGCAAUGGGCGCAAGCCUGACCCAGCAACGCCGCGUGAAGGAAGAAGGUUUUCGGAUUGUAAACUUCUGUCCUUGGGGACGAAACAAAUGACGGUACCCAAGGAGGAAGCCCCGGCUAACUACGUG
rnacentral:rRNA from 1 species